AACGGAGAGUUUGAUCCUGGCUCAGAAUGAACGCUGGCGGCGUGCUUAACACAUGCAAGUCGAACGAGAAAGUUCCCUUCGGGGGAUAAGUAAAGUGGCGCACGGGUGAGUAACGCGUGGAUAAUCUGCCCUUGAAUUCGGAAUAACAUCGCGAAAGCGGUGCUAAUACCGGAUGAUGUUGUGUUUUCUGCGGGGAAUGCAACCAAAGAAUGCCUCUUCAUGAAAGCAUUUGUUUGAGGAUGAGUCCGCGUCCCAUUAGCUAGUUGGCGGGGUAACGGCCCACCAAGGCAGUGAUGGGUAGCUGGUCUGAGAGGAUGAUCAGCCACACUGGGACUGACACACGGCCCAGACUCCUACGGGAGGCAGCAGUGAGGAAUUUUGCGCAAUGGGGGAAACCCUGACGCAGCAACGCCGCGUGAGUGAAGAAGGCCCUUGGGUCGUAAAGCUCUGUCAAUGGGG
rnacentral:rRNA from 1 species